rnacentral:rRNA from 1 species
GACGAACGCUGGCGGCGUGCUUAACACAUGCAAGUCGAACGGAAAGGCCCCUUUGGGGGUACUCGAGUGGCGAACGGGUGAGUAACACGUGAGUAACCUGCCCUUGACUUCGGGAUAACUUCAGGAAACUGGGGCUAAUACCGGAUAGGAAUCCUUGCUGCAUGGUGGGGGUUGGAAAGCUUCGGCGGUUUUGGAUGGACUCGCGGCUUAUCAGCUUGUUGGUGGGGUAGUGGCUUACCAAGGCUUUGACGGGUAGCCGGCCUGAGAGGGCGACCGGCCACAUUGGGACUGAGGUACGGCCCAGACUCCGACGGGAGGCAGCAGUGGGGAAUAUUGCACAAGGGGCGGAAGCCUGAUGCAGCAACGCCGCGGGCGGGAUGACGGCCUUCGGGUUGUAAACCGCUUUCAGCAGGGGCGAAGCUUGUGGUGACGGUACCUGCAGAAGAAGCACCGGCUAACUACGUG